rnacentral:rRNA from 1 species
CGCUGGCGGCGUGCUUAACACAUGCAAGUCGAACGGAACUCUUUGGAUCGAGACUUCGGUCAAGUGAAUCUGAGUUUAGUGGCGGACGGGUGAGUAACGCGUGAGCAACCUGCCUUUGCAAUCGGGAUAACAGCCGGAAACAGCUGCUAAUACCGAAUGAUACACAUUGGUCGCAUGUCCGAUGUGUCAAAGAUCCGUUGUGCAAAGAUGGGCUCGCGUCUGAUUAGAUAGUUGGUGGGGUAACGGCCUACCAAGUCGACGAUCGGUAGCCGAACUGAGAGGUUGAUCGGCCGCAUUGGGACUGAGACACGGCCCAGACUCCUACGGGAGGCAGCAGUGGGGGAUAUUGCACAAUGGAGGAAACUCUGAUGCAGCAACGCCGCGUGAGGGAAGACGGUCUUCGGAUUGUAAACCUAAGUUAUCAGGGACGAUUAUGACGGUACCUGAAGAGAAAGCUCCGGCUAACUACGUG